AACAAUCAGUGUUCAGAUAACUAGCGCAAACGUGCCGAGAUAUCUUGUUUAUUAUAAAAAUAAACGCUUGUGUUGUGCCAUGGCUUAUAUGGCGAUGACGUUUGAGAUUGUAAAUUUACGGGCCACAGAUGUGUCUAUGGUAAGGCCGACCUGACGAGAUAGCUGCCUACUGAGGUUUGAUUGGAUAUGGACAUUGUUUAUUUCAGAAGGAAAAUGUUUGGAGUGGAAUUGUUUGGAAGACAAUCUUGGGACAAUUUUGCUCUUUGGGUCUUUGUGCCAACCAUGCCAGCUAUCGUAGGGUGCUCUGGGAACUUCUUAGAUCUGUUUACUGUAUGUACACUUACUGAAAUAAGCAUUUUGUUUACAUAAAAUCCCUUGUCAUUUCACCACUAGGUUUGAAACCCAGACAGCACGAAGCAUCUUGCCGACGUCAAAAUCAGAUCAACAGACAGGGACAUCAGCCUUCUCUUGGGAAUAGGCCAGAUAUGCCAUAACAAGAAAUGGUGUUUUGCCCCUGCGGUUGUAAAGAGGAUGCUGUGGAGGUGGCAGCAUGAACGUGUCACACAGACAUUGGCUAAACAACUCGGCUUCUACACUUGACAACAAAUGUGCUCUACGAUGACAUUUCCAGCAUGUCCAACUCAUCAGCAUCAGGGGAGAUUCGGUGAAGGUGGUGCACCAUCCAGGACCAGUCAUGGGUCACCAACACCUCUGCAAAAUCUACACUUCUUGUGAACCCUGUAGAAGACACUACAACCACAAAACUGCUAAUAAACCAUCACAUACUGCAUCACA